ensembl:snRNA U6 U6 spliceosomal RNA
GUGCUCACUUCAGCAGCACAUAUACUAAAAUUGGAACAAUACAGAAAAGGUUAGCAUGGCCCCUGCGCAGGGAUGACAUGUAAAUCUGUGAAGCAGUCCAUAUUUUU